GAACAUUGAGCUUUUUCUGAGCUAGAGUUUAGUUGUUUUGAAAUCGGAGAAAUGUUAAAUCUAGGCUCAUACCCCCAAAAUCGAAUAUAUUGAGCUCUUCGAAAAUGGUGAUAUGACCCAGCGAGGUGCACUUUUCAAGCCCAAUAGGGAAUGAGCAUCAUGUGAAACACAUAGUGUACAAAAAAUUGAUAUAUUCAAUUUUUUGUAAUUGAUUUUAAUAAAAACAAAUACAUAAUCCGAUUUCUUUGUAAACAAGUACAUUUUUACUUGUUUAUUUAAUGUAAACUAUGUUCAUAUUUCACACUUUCAGCAAGUUAACAUUGAGAGCAAGUCAUACCAGUAUCAGAGAGCCAAGAGCCGUAAAUACAAAGGCCUAUACAUAAAGAAAGAAUGCCUUAAAAGUUUUCCACAAGACAUCACUGUAUUUAUUAAUGACAGCCAACAAACUGUAACUAGACAGUGGCCUAGGGCAAAUGCCCAUCUACCAUUGCCAAUCUGCUACUGGACUGACUUUCUGCCAGUUACAGCUGUUGACCAGAUAGCCGACAAACUGUAACUAAACAGUGGCCUAGGGCAAAGCCGGAAAUGCCCAUCUACCAUUGCCAAUCUGCUACUGGACUGACUUUCUGCCAGUUACAGCUGUCGACCAGAUAGCCGACAAACUGCAACAAGACAUUGGCUAGGGCAAAGCUGGAAACACCCAUCUGCCAUUGCCAGCCUACUACUGGACUGACAUUAUGCCAGUUACAGCUGUCGACCAGGCCAUAUGAUGAGUUUUCCCAGUUCUAGACGAAGUAAGCGAGUCCAAGUAAAAAAAAUGCUGCUGACAGUUGCAUCAGAAAUGUUGAAUCUAAAUGCAAGGUCAUGAACUAAAAGACCAAGUCUUAAUCUCAUCAAUACCAGCAACAACUCAAGCUCUAGAGAUAGUUUUCUUCUUGGACCAGGGCGUUUGAAGGAGUUGUCCCACUGG